AGAAGUUUUGGUUGUUUACAACAAAGUACAACAUGCCAUUUUACCGGCGUUUUUUCUCAUUUCUCUUCUUUCCAAGAGUUCAUUCUCCAUAGAUGUUCACUAGAUCAAGGUGUCCGGGAUUAAUGGUUCUUCUUCUUGUCUCUGAUAUCCGGAUGUUUAAGUGUCUUGGAUCUCUUCUUAUGGUGAUUGCUGGGUGCAAUCUUGUUUAAAGGACAGAGAAAUCUCCAAUGAACGAUCGGAAGUCCAGGUUUUGACUGAAGUCUUCAAGCUAUUCUUUAAGAUGGUGAUGAUUCGGUCUAUAAUCUCAGGUUUAAGUGGACUAGUGGAAUGUUUCGAGAAUUCUGAGACUGGGAUGAAUUUGUGGAUAGUAAGUCAAGAUUUUUAUGUUGCAAUAAACAGUGUUGUUGAUCAAGCAAUUUGACAAGAAAUCUUGAUGAACAGCGAG